rnacentral:rRNA from 1 species
UACGUAGGUGGCAAGCGUUGUCCGGAUUUACUGGGCGUAAAGAGCGCGCAGGCGGUCGUUCAAGUCGCGUGUGAAAGCCCCCGGCUCAACUGGGGAGGGUCACGCGAUACUGAUCGACUCGAAGGCAGGAGAGGGUAGUGGAAUUCCCGGUGUAGUGGUGAAAUGCGUAGAUAUCGGGAGGAACACCAGUGGCGAAGGCGGCUUUCUGGGCAUUUCCUGACGCUGAGACGCGAAAGCGUGGGGAGCGAACCGG